rnacentral:lncRNA from 1 species
CACGAGGAGAGACCGAGGAAACCUGUACUUACGCCGCUGCCUGUGGAGAAAGAGAAAGCGAGUGAGCACCCAAGGAACGAACUGUGUGAACCAGUACUUACUGUGAGCUGCAAUCAGCGAAGAGGUGAGAGUCAUUCAAAGCAAACUAACUGUGCUAUUGUGCCCAAGUUGAUACCUGUGGAGAGAAAAGGAGAGAGAGUGAAUAACACGAGGAGGAAUAGAGCGAACCCUGUACUUACAGUACGUUGUGUCCAGCCCAGAGGUGAAAGCCAUCCAAAGCAGAGUAACUGUGUUUUGUGUCCAAGUUGAUACCUGUAGAGAGGAGGAGAGAGAGUGGAUAACGCGAGGAGAAAUAGAGCGAAACCUGUACUUACAGUACGCUGUGUCCAGCCCAGAGGUGAGAGCCAUUCAAAGCAAACUAACUGUGCUAUUGUGCCCAAGUUGAUACCUGUGGAGAGAAAAGGAGAAAGAGUGGGUAACACGAGGAGCGACCGAGGAAACCUGUACUUACGCCGCUGCCUGUGGAGAAAGAGAAAGCGAGUGAGCACCCAAGGAACGAACUGUGUGAACCAGUACUUACUGUGAGCUGCAAUCAGCGAAGAGGUGAAAGCCAUCCAAAGCAGAGUAACUGUGUUUUGUGUCCAAGUUGAUACCUGUAGAGAGGAGGAGAGAGAGUGGAUAACGCGAGGAGAAAUAGAGCGAAACCUGUACUUACAGUACGCUGUGUCCAGCCCAGAGGUGAGAGCCAUUCAAAGCAAACUAACUGUGCUAUUGUGCUCAAGUUGAUACCUGUGGAGAGAAAAGGAGAGAGAGUGGGUAACACGAGGAGAGACCGAGGAAACCUGUACUUACGCCGCUGCCUGUGGAGAAAGAGAAAGCGAGUGAGCACCCAAGGAACGAACUGUGUGAACCAGUACUUACUGUGAGCUGCAAUCAGCGAAGAGGUGAGAGCAAAACCAAGCCGAAUUAACUGUGCCUUUGCGUCCCAGCCGUUGCCUGUGGAGGAAGAGAAAGAGAGUGAGCACCCCGAGAACGAACUGUGUGAACCAGUACUUACCGUGAGUUGUAUUCAGCGAAGAGGAGGAAGAAGGAGGGCGCUACGGAUACCUAAGACUCUGGCCGGGCCCCGAGUCCCACGUCCCGGAUCCCCGUGGCCCCCUUGCUCCCUGACCUCUUCCCGGCCAUAGCCCAUCUGGAGGGCCGAGUCAGAGUUUAGUUUUAAUUGCCCUUUCCCUAUUCCCCAAGCUAUUUUUAAAUAUUUAAAUAAAGAUUGUUUUAUCACUUACUUGUUCUCGUGUUGUUUGGCCAUUGGGUUGGCUUUGGGGACCUCCUCGAGGUGGAAGUUGAGAAGGGGUGUGGCUUAGUCAAAGCAUAGCCGCCCCUGGGUGUGACACAUGCAAGAGGGGAGGAUGAAAGGUAGCCGUCAAAACCUUUUGCUGAGGGUCCAUUAUGCUUGGGUCGGCUCCGUGAGUGGAAGUAAAGGAGGGGAAGAGAGGGGA